AUAUCAAUAAGCGGAGGAAAAGAAACUAACAAGGAUUCCCCUAGUAACGGCGAGUGAAGCGGGAAGAGCUCAAGCUUAAAAUCUCCGUGCAAGUUUUGCGCGGCGAAUUGUAGUCUAUAGAGGCGUGGUCAGUGAGGGCGCUCGGGGCAAGUUCCUUGGAAGAGGACAGCAUGGAGGGUGAUACUCCCGUUCAUCCCUGGGUGGCUCUUGCGUACGACCCGUUUUCUUUGAGUCGCGUUGUUUGGGAAUGCAGCGCAAAGUAGGUGGUAAAUUCCAUCUAAAGCUAAAUAUUGGUGCGAGACCGAUAGCGAACAAGUACCGUGAGGGAAAGAUGAAAAGAACUUUGAAAAGAGAGUUAAAGAGUACCUGAAACUGCUGAAAGGGAACCGAAUCGUUUCCAGUGUCUAUAAUCCGUGGUAUAUUUCAUUGGUGAGUGUGUGCGUGCGUGUGCUUUGGCAGUGGCUUUUUUGGCUGCGCUGGGCGUGUGUGCUGUGUGUGCUUGCUGGUGCCCUGUGCUGCGGUGGGACGUCAAGGUCAGUUCGUAUGCUGCGGGAAAUGGCUGCCGAGGAGGUAGGGCUUACGCUCCGCGUUUGUCUGUUAUAUCUUGGUGGACGAGUCGUCGCGGUUGGGACUGAGGUGCCUACAACGUGCUUUUGAGUGAGUGUGGGUCUCCGUGUGCGCCGUGUGCGGAUAGCUUGCUAUGCGUGUGUGGUUGUGUGUGGAUUGAUGCGCGCUGUAACUUGUCGCCGUUCGGGACGUUGACGAAAUGGAGCGAUCCGACCCGUCUUGAAACACGGACCAAGGAGUCUAACAUGUGU
rnacentral:rRNA from 1 species